UGGGGAAUAUUGCACAAUGGAGGAAACUCUGAUGCAGCGACGCCGCGUGAGUGAUGAAGGUUUUCGAAUCGUAAAGCUCUGUCCUAAGGGACGAUAAUGACGGUACCUUAGGAGGAAGCCCCGGCUAACUACGUGCCAGCAGCCGCGGUAAUACGUAGGGGGCGAGCGUUGUCCGGAUUUACUGGGCGUAAAGGGUACGCAGGCGGCCUUGUAAGUCAGAUGUGAAAGACCACAGCUUAACUGUGGCAAGCAUUUGAAACUAUAGGGCUUGAGUCAAGGAGAGGAGAGCGGAAUUCCUAGUGUAGCGGUGAAAUGCGUAGAUAUUAGGAAGAACACCAGUGGCGAAGGCGACUCUCUGGCCUUGUACAGACGCUGAGGUACGAAAGCGUGGGGAGCAAAC
rnacentral:rRNA from 1 species